UUCUCAUGAUCGGGAGCCAUA
rnacentral:misc_RNA from 1 species